rnacentral:rRNA from 1 species
CCUACGGGAGGCAGCAGUCGGGAAUAUUGCGCAAUGGAGGAAACUCUGACGCAGUGACGCCGCGUGCGGGAAGAAGGUUUUCGGAUUGUAAACUGCUUUAGACAGGGAAGAAAAAAGACAGUACCUGUAGAAUAAGCUCCGACUAACUACGUGCCAGCAGCCGCGGUCCUACGUAGGGAGCGAGCGUUAUCCGGGUUUACUGGGGUUAAAGGGUGCGUAGACGGGGAAGCAAGUUAGUUGUGAAAUCCCACGGCUUAACUGAGGAACUGCAACUAAAACUACUUCCCUUGAGUACUGGAGAGGAAAGUGGAAUUCCUAGUGUAGCGGUGAAAUGCGUAGAUAUUAGGAGGAACACCAGUGGCGAAGGCGACUUUCUGGACAGUAACUGACGUUGAUGCACGAAAGUGUGGGGAGCAAACAGGAUUAGAUACCCGGGUAGUC